GUCCCUGUAGCGCUAUUCAUAGAGCUUUGGACUUCCAAUCCAAAGGUCGUGGGUUCUAAUCCCACCUGGGAUG